rnacentral:tRNA from 1 species
GGCCUCGCAGCUCAGCUGGUAGAGCAUGCGCGUACAAAGCGUAGGCGGUGUUCAUGCGUGGGUUCGAAUCCCACCGAGGCUA